AUUGAACGCUGGCGGCAUGCCUUACACAUGCAAGUCGAACGGUAACGGGCCUUCGGGUGCCGACGAGUGGCGAACGGGUGAGUAAUGCAUCGGAACGUACCUUUCAGUGGGGGAUAACGUAGCGAAAGUUACGCUAAUACCGCAUAUUCUGUGAGCAGGAAAGCAGGGGAUCGCAAGACCUUGCGCUGAUUGAGCGGCCGAUGUCAGAUUAGCUAGUUGGUGAGGUAAAGGCUCACCAAGGCGACGAUCUGUAGCGGGUCUGAGAGGAUGAUCCGCCACACUGGAACUGAGACACGGUCCAGACUCCUACGGGAGGCAGCAGUGGGGAAUUUUGGGACAAAUGGGGGCAACCCUGAUCCAGCCAUGCCGCGUGAGUGAAGAAGGCCUC
rnacentral:rRNA from 1 species